AGUGAACGCUGGCGGUAGGCCUAACACAUGCAAGUCGAACGGCAGCACAGUAAGAGCUUGCUCUUACGGGUGGCGAGUGGCGGACGGGUGAGGAAUACAUCGGCAUCUACUUUUUCGUGGGGGAUAACGUAGGGAAACUUACGCUAAUACCGCAUACGACCUACGGGUGAAAGCAGGGGAUCCUCGGACCUUGCGCGAUUGAAUGAGCCGAUGUCGGAUUAGCUAGUUGGCGGGGUAAAGGCCCACCAAGGCGACGAUCCGUAGCUGGUAUGAGAGGAUGAUCAGCCACACUGGAACUGAGACACGGUCCAGACUCCUACGGGAGGCAGCAGUGGGGAAUAUUGGACAAUGGGCGCAAGCCUGAUCCAGCCAUACCGCGUGGGUGAAGAAGGCCUUCGGGUUGUAAAGCCCUUUUGUUGGGAAAGAAAAGCAGCAGGUUAAUACCCCGCUGUUCUGACGGUACCCAAAGAAUAAGCACCGGCUAACUUCGUG
rnacentral:rRNA from 1 species